rnacentral:tRNA from 1 species
GGGUAUAGCUCAGUGGUAGAGUGCAUGCCUAGCUAGCAUGCAUGAGGUCCUGGGUUCAAUCCCCAGUACCUCCA